AGUGAACGCUGGCGGCAGGCCUAAUACAUGCAAGUCGAACGGCAGCACAGCAGAGCUUGCUCUGUGGGUGGCGAGUGGCGGACGGGUGAGGAAUACAUGGGAAUCUGCCCAGUCGUGGGGGAUAACGUAGGGAAACUUACGCUAAUACCGCAUACGACCUACGGGUGAAAGUGGGGGACCGCAAGGCCUCACGCGAUUAG
rnacentral:rRNA from 1 species